rnacentral:rRNA from 1 species
UACGUAGGGGGCAAGCGUUGUCCGGAAUCAUUGGGCGUAAAGCGCGUGUAGGCGGUCCGGUAAGUCCGCUGUGAAAGUCGGGGGCUCAACCCUCGGAUGCCGGUGGAAACUGUCGGGCUGGAGUCCGGAAGAGGCGAGUGGAAUUCCUGGUGUAGCGGUGAAAUGCGCAGAUAUCAGGAGGAACACCAAUGGCGAAGGCAGCUCGCUGGGACGGUACCGACGCUGAGACGCGAAAGCGUGGGGAGCAAACAGG